rnacentral:rRNA from 1 species
AUUGAACGCUGGCGGCAGGCUUAACACAUGCAAGUCGAGCGAGCGGCGGACGGGUGAGUAAUGUCUGGGAAACUGCCUGAUGGAGGGGGAUAACUACUGGAAACGGUAGCUAAUACCGCAUACCAUCAGAUGUGCCCAGAUGGGAUUAGCUAGUAGGUGGGGUAAUGGCUCACCUAGGCGACGAUCCCUAGCUGGUCUGAGAGGAUGACCAGCCACACUGGAACGGAGACACGGUCCAGACUCCAACGUGAGGCAGCAGUGGGGAAUAUUGCACAGGGGGCGCAAGCCUGAUGCAGACAUGCCGCGUGUGUGAAAAAGGCCAUCGGGUUGUAAAGCACUUUCAGCGAGGAGGCGUUACUCGCAGAAGAAGCACCGGCUAACUCCGUGCCAGCAGCCGCGGUAAUUC